rnacentral:rRNA from 1 species
UACGUAGGGUGCGAGCGUUAAUCGGAAUUACUGGGCGUAAAGCGUGCGCAGGCGGUUAUGUAAGACAGAUGUGAAAUCCCCGGGCUUAACCUGGGACCUGCAUUUGUGACUGCAUUGCUGGAGUGCGGCAGAGGGGGAUGGAAUUCCGCGUGUAGCAGUGAAAUGCGUAGAUAUGCGGAGGAACACCGAUGGCGAAGGCAAUCCCCUGGGCCUGCACUGACGCUCAUGCACGAAAGCGUGGGGAGCAAACAGG